UAUACAAGUAGAUUAGCAAAACUAAAUAAAGAAUAUACUUAGAAUAAAGGUCGAAGUUUAUAUGAGAGCCUACAGCAUAUUUUAAAAUGGCAUUUAAAAUACAUAGGUAAAUCUGGUUUAUUUAGCAGUAGUGAAGGUGUAAUUGGCUUUUUUAUUUGGUAUAGGUAAAUAGGCCCAUACUUUCUACUCAUUUACAAAUAAAUGCCAAAGAGAUUAAAGAUAUAAAAGUGAAGGAACAAGAAAGAACAAAAGAAGGAAGGUCAAGAGAGCAAGUGAGGGGCUGGAGUUGUGGCUCAGUGGCAGAGCACUUGCCUAGCAUGUGUGAGGCACUGAGUUCAAUCCUCAGCAUCACAUAAAAAUAAAAAAAUAAAUAAAUAAAGGUACAUCAACAACUAAAAAAAUAAAAUAAAAAAGAAAGCAAGUGACCAUGAGAGAAAGAAAUUAAAAGAAAAUGAAGAAAAUAUUUCUCUAAUCUCUAAGACAGAGCACUCUUUGAAUGCAAUACAACAAGCUCAGUGAAACUGAUUAGAUUAUGGUUUAUGGCUGCACAAAUAUGCCACAAUAAAACAACCAUUCUGUAUAAUUAAUAUACACCAAUAAGCAAAACCAACGGGAGACACAUGUGACUUUUUAAAAGGUAACAAUUCUAUCUAAUAAGAUACUAAGAAGAGUCAUAAGACAAAGGUUACUACAUCUGAAUAACAAAAAGAAUGGAAGACUGGGCAAAGAACAAUAAGAAGAAAAAUCUCAGGAGUCAAAUGCUGUGAAAUGUGCCUGUAGUUUAUCCCAUGUAUUCAGAAGGCUUAAAUGGGAGGGUUAUUUGAGCCUCUGAGUUAAAAACCAGCUUGGGUUACCUAGCAAGAUCCCAUAUCAAAAAAAAAAAAGAUAAAUCCUGGAGGGUUGGGG
rnacentral:lncRNA from 1 species